rnacentral:lncRNA from 1 species
ACCCCCUGCGCCACGCAAGAUGGCCGACACCCGACCCAUCAACCCGUGGGCUGUCCAAGAUGGCCGACGCCCUUCCCAGCACCCCCUAGACCCAACAAUAUGGCCGACGCCCUUCCCAUCAUCCCUUGAGCCCCACAAGAUGGCCGCUGCCCUUCCCAUCAUCCCCCACCAGACGCGGCCAUCUUGUCCCCUCGGCGGCCAUCUUCCUCUAUGGCUGCCCUCUUCUUCCUCAUUGACCAAUGUUCCCUUCUCAUUGCCCAAUUUCCCCAGUUUUUGCCCAUUUUACCCCCUCAUUAGCCCCUUUACCGCCUCGGUAGCCAUUUUACCCCCUUGGUAGCCAUUUACCCCCUCAGCAGCCAUCUUACCCCCUUGUCAGCCAUCUUGUCCCCCUGGCAGCCAUCUUCCCUCAAUGGCUGUCCUCUUCUUUGUUGACCAUUCUCCCUUCCCAUUGCCCAUUUCCCCCCCCUGGUUGCCCCUUUUACCCCCCCGGCGGCCAUCUUUGCCCCCCCCAGGUGGUGGUGCGGAUGCUGCAGGAGGGGCAGCCGGACGGCCGCAUCCUGGACGCCAUCGACUCCUUCUUCCCCGAGGGUGACGGCGCGGCGCUGGCGGCUUACGGCCACCCGAGCCCCCAGGACCUGGAGCUGGUGGAGGGGGCGCAGGAGAAUUUCCGGCAGCUGGUGCUGGAGCUGCUGGGGGACAGCCGGCGGCGGGCGGCCUACCUGGAGGACGCGGCGGGCCGUGACUACGGGGAGCCGUUCCUGCAGGCGCUGGAGAGCCUCUUCCACGAGUUCCUGCUGCGCCUCGAGAGCGCCCUGCCCCCCCCCGACGUCACCCAGUUACAGGAAGUGGUGUGGGGCCAAUCAGGGCCCGGGCCCCGCCCCCGGGAGCUGCCAAUCCUGCGCCGGUACCUGGCGGACGUGGGCCACGCCCACCUCGCCUUGUUGCCCCGCCCCCUGCGCUGGAGCGGCCGCCCAUUGAACCCCGCCCCCAGCUCCACCUCCAGGCCCGCCAAGCCCCGCCCCGGCCUCCGCAGGCUCCGCCCCCUCCACGUGAGGCCAUUGGAAUUCCUCGGUGACGUCAGCAGCGACUCGGAGGCAGAGGAGGUGCCACGCCGGAAGGCCCGCCUCCUGCCCCUCCCCCGCCGUGCUGCGCUGCUGGCAGGUCGGUGCUAACGAUCCG